GGUUAAGCGACUAAGCGUACACGGUGGAUGCCCUGGCAGUCAGAGGCGAUGAAGGACGUGCUAAUCUGCGAUAAGCGUCGGUAAGGUGAUAUGAACCGUUAUAACCGGCGAUUUCCGAAUGGGGAAACCCAGUGUGUUUCGACACACUAUCAUUAACUGAAUCCAUAGGUUAAUGAGGCGAACCGGGGGAACUGAAACAUCUAAGUACCCCGAGGAAAAGAAAUCAACCGAGAUUCCCCCAGUAGCGGCGAGCGAACGGGGAGCAGCCCAGAGCCUGAAUCAGUGUGUGUAUUAGUGGAAGCGUCUGGAAAGGCGCGCGAUACAGGGUGACAGCCCCGUACACAAAAAUGCACAUAUUGUGAGCUCGAUGAGUAGGGCGGGACACGUGGUAUCCUGUCUGAAUAUGGGGGGACCAUCCUCCAAGGCUAAAUACUCCUGACUGACCGAUAGUGAACCAGUACCGUGAGGGAAAGGCGAAAAGAACCCCGGCGAGGGGAGUGAAAAAGAACCUGAAACCGUGUACGUACAAGCAGUGGGAGCACGCUUAGGCGUGUGACUGCGUACCUUUUGUAUAAUGGGUCAGCGACUUAUAUUCUGUAGCAAGGUUAACCGAAUAGGGGAGCCGAAGGGAAACCGAGUCUUAACUGGGCGUUAAGUUGCAGGGUAUAGACCCGAAACCCGGUGAUCUAGCCAUGGGCAGGUUGAAGGUUGGGUAACACUAACUGGAGGACCGAACCGACUAAUGUUGAAAAAUUAGCGGAUGACUUGUGGCUGGGGGUGAAAGGCCAAUCAAACCGGGAGAUAGCUGGUUCUCCCCGAAAGCUAUUUAGGUAGCGCCUCGUGAAUUCAUCUCCGGGGGUAGAGCACUGUUUCGGCAAGGGGGUCAUCCCGACUUACCAACCCGAUGCAAACUGCGAAUACCGGAGAAUGUUAUCACGGGAGACACACGGCGGGUGCUAACGUCCGUCGUGAAGAGGGAAACAACCCAGACCGCCAGCUAAGGUCCCAAAGUCAUGGUUAAGUGGGAAACGAUGUGGGAAGGCCCAGACAGCCAGGAUGUUGGCUUAGAAGCAGCCAUCAUUUAAAGAAAGCGUAAUAGCUCACUGGUCGAGUCGGCCUGCGCGGAAGAUGUAACGGGGCUAAACCAUGCACCGAAGCUGCGGCAGCGACGCUGAUGCGUUGUUGGGUAGGGGAGCGUUCUGUAAGCCUGCGAAGGUGUGCUGUGAGGCAUGCUGGAGGUAUAAGAAGUGCGAAUGCUGACAUAAGUAACGAUAAAGCGGGUGAAAAGCCCGCUCGCCGGAAGACCAAGGGUUCCUGUCCAACGUUAAUCGGGGCAGGGUGAGUCGACCCCUAAGGCGAGGCCGAAAGGCGUAGUCGAUGGGAAACAGGUUAAUAUUCCUGUACUUGGUGUUACUGCGAAGGGGGGACGGAGAAGGCUAUGUUGGCCGGGCGACGGUUGUCCCGGUUUAAGCGUGUAGGCUGGUUUUCCAGGCAAAUCCGGAAAAUCAAGGCUGAGGCGUGAUGACGAGGCACUACGGUGCUGAAGCAACAAAUGCCCUGCUUCCAGGAAAAGCCUCUAAGCAUCAGGUAACAUCAAAUCGUACCCCAAACCGACACAGGUGGUCAGGUAGAGAAUACCAAGGCGCUUGAGAGAACUCGGGUGAAGGAACUAGGCAAAAUGGUGCCGUAACUUCGGGAGAAGGCACGCUGAUAUGUAGGUGAGGUCCCUCGCGGAUGGAGCUGAAAUCAGUCGAAGAUACCAGCUGGCUGCAACUGUUUAUUAAAAACACAGCACUGUGCAAACACGAAAGUGGACGUAUACGGUGUGACGCCUGCCCGGUGCCGGAAGGUUAAUUGAUGGGGUUAGCGCAAGCGAAGCUCUUGAUCGAAGCCCCGGUAAACGGCGGCCGUAACUAUAACGGUCCUAAGGUAGCGAAAUUCCUUGUCGGGUAAGUUCCGACCUGCACGAAUGGCGUAAUGAUGGCCAGGCUGUCUCCACCCGAGACUCAGUGAAAUUGAACUCGCUGUGAAGAUGCAGUGUACCCGCGGCAAGACGGAAAGACCCCGUGAACCUUUACUAUAGCUUGACACUGAACAUUGAGCCUUGAUGUGUAGGAUAGGUGGGAGGCUUGGAAGUGUGGACGCCAGUCUGCAUGGAGCCGACCUUGAAAUACCACCCUUUAAUGUUUGAUGUUCUAACGUUGACCCGUAAUCCGGGUUGCGGACAGUGUCUGGUGGGUAGUUUGACUGGGGCGGUCUCCUCCUAAAGAGUAACGGAGGAGCACGAAGGUUGGCUAAUCCUGGUCGGACAUCAGGAGGUUAGUGCAAUGGCAUAAGCCAGCUUGACUGCGAGCGUGACGGCGCGAGCAGGUGCGAAAGCAGGUCAUAGUGAUCCGGUGGUUCUGAAUGGAAGGGCCAUCGCUCAACGGAUAAAAGGUACUCCGGGGAUAACAGGCUGAUACCGCCCAAGAGUUCAUAUCGACGGCGGUGUUUGGCACCUCGAUGUCGGCUCAUCACAUCCUGGGGCUGAAGUAGGUCCCAAGGGUAUGGCUGUUCGCCAUUUAAAGUGGUACGCGAGCUGGGUUUAGAACGUCGUGAGACAGUUCGGUCCCUAUCUGCCGUGGGCGCUGGAGAACUGAGGGGGGCUGCUCCUAGUACGAGAGGACCGGAGUGGACGCAUCACUGGUGUUCGGGUUGUCAUGCCAAUGGCACUGCCCGGUAGCUAAAUGCGGAAGAGAUAAGUGCUGAAAGCAUCUAAGCACGAAACUUGCCCCGAGAUGAGUUCUCCCUGACUCCUUGAGAGUCCUGAAGGAACGUUGAAGACGACGACGUUGAUAGGCCGGGUGUGUAAGCGCAGCGAUGCGUUGAGCUAACCGGUACUAAUGAACCGUGAGGCUUAACCUU
rnacentral:rRNA from 1 species